rnacentral:rRNA from 1 species
GACGAACGCUGGCGGCGUGCUUAACACAUGCAAGUCGAACGGAAAGGCCCUGCUUUUGUGGGGUGCUCGAGUGGCGAACGGGUGAGUAACACGUGAGUAACCUGCACUUGACUUUGGGAUAACUUCAGGAAACUGGGGCUAAUACCGGAUAGGAGCUCCUGCUGCAUGGUGGGGGUGGGAAAGUUUCGGCGGUUGGGGAUGGACUCGCGGCUUAUCAGCUUGUUGGUGGGGUAGUGGCUUACCAAGGCUUUGACGGGUAGCCGGCCUGAGAGGGUGACCGGCCACAUUGGGACUGAGAUACGGCCCAGCCUCCUACGGGAGGCAGCAGUGGGGAAUAUUGCACAAUGGGCGGAAGCCUGAUGCAGCAACGCCGCGUGCGGGAUGACGGCCUUCGGGUUGUAAUCCGCUUUCGCCUGUGACGAAGCGUGAGUGACGGUAAUGGGUAAAGAAGCACCGGCUAACUACGUG